rnacentral:rRNA from 1 species
GACGAACGCUGGCGGCGUGCCUAAUACAUGCAAGUAGAACGCACAGUUUAUACCGUAGCUUGCUACACCAUAGACUGUGAGUUGCGAACGGGUGAGUAACGCGUAGGUAACCUGCCUGGUAGCGGGGGAUAACUAUUGGAAACGAUAGCUAAUACCGCAUAAUAUUAAUUAUUGCAAGAUAAUUAAUUGAAAGGUGCAAUUGCACCACUACCAGAUGGACCUGCGUUGUAUUAGCUAGUAGGUGAGGUAACGGCUCACCUAGGCGACGAUACAUAGCCGACCGGAGAGGGUGAUCGGCCACACUGGGACUGAGACACGGCCCAGACUCCUACGGGAGGCAGCAGUAGGGAAUCUUCGGCAAUGGACGAAAGUCUGACCGAGCAACGCCGCGUGAGUGAAGAAGGUUUUCGGAUCGUAAAGCUCUGUUGUAAGAGAAGAACGGGUGUGUGAGUGGAAAGUUCACACUGUGACGGUAUCUUACCAGAAAGGGACGGCUAACUACGUG